AACGCUAGCUACAGGCUUAACACAUGCAAGUCGAGGGGAAACGACAUCGAAAGCUUGCUUUUGAUGGGCGUCGACCGGCGCACGGGUGAGUAACGCGUAUCCAACCUGCCCACCACUUGGGGAUAACCUUGCGAAAGUAAGACUAAUACCCAAUGACGUCUCUAGAAGACAUCUGAAAGAGAUUAAAGAUUUAUCGGUGAUGGAUGGGGAUGCGUCUGAUUAGCUUGUUGGCGGGGUAACGGCCCACCAAGGCGACGAUCAGUAGGGGUUCUGAGAGGAAGGUCCCCCACAUUGGAACUGAGACACGGUCCAAACUCCUACGGGAGGCAGCAGUGAGGAAUAUUGGUCAAUGGGCGAGAGCCUGAACCAGCCAAGUAGCGUGCAGGAUGACGGCCCUAUGGGUUGUAAACUGCUUUUAUAAGGGAAUAAAGUUAGUCUCGUGAGACUUUUUGCAUGUACCUUAUGAAUAAGGACCGGCUAAUUCCGUGCCAGCAGCCGCGGUAAUACGGAAGGUCCGGGCGUUAUCCGGAUUUAUUGGGUUUAAAGGGAGCGUAGGCCGGAGAUUAAGCGUGUUGUGAAAUGUAGACGCUCAACGUCUGCACUGCAGCGCGAACUGGUUUCCUUGAGUACGCACAAAGUGGGCGGAAUUCGUGGUGUAGCGGUGAAAUGCUUAGAUAUCACGAAGAACUCCGAUUG
rnacentral:rRNA from 1 species